rnacentral:misc_RNA from 1 species
GUUCUGCCUAAGGAAGUUGCUUUUGAGAAUUGAGACAAUGAGGGAACUGUCAGUGCUUGUGCAUUGCAAUGGUUCUUAUGCAACUGCAAUACUAAUUUCGCGUGAGCUUGUUUAUAACUUCUUUAUUUGCACGAGGUAUUGUUGGAUCAAAUCUUGCUCUUAGAUGUUAAUUACAUCUGAUCUUUCUAUUUUACUUUCUCAAAAUUUAGGGAUGGUCCAUCAUUAGUAGUCGCAUCAGGUCGUGAUACUAUCUCCAUUUCAAGCUCAAUAAAACAGUUAGCUCCAGAAUAUGUUUUCACUGUGCA